rnacentral:lncRNA from 1 species
AUUCCCUGUUAUCUACACUGUGUGGAAGACAUCUUUUCAGAGUCUAUGCAUGGCUGAAGGGCACAGUUCCUGUAGCUGUUUACACUGGUGAGCCAGGCCCAGAAAUAAAGGAAAAGAAUUUUCAGAAUGACAGUCCUUAUAACCAGAUGCUUAUCAGCAUCCUUCACAAUGUCCUGAAGAUAAAUUUUUACAAGGUGGAGUCACAGGAGAAAAUCCAAAGAGGAGUAAAAAAUAAUAAUGCUGAUGUCAUGUUAGAGUGGAGGCCCUGGACACUGUUGUGGACCCAGUCUCAAGUUUCUGCUACAGUUAGAAGAUGUGGAAGUGAUCAGGUGCAAAUCGAAUUUUUCACACAAGCGAAGCCCGAGUCAGCAUGGGGGGCGGUGGCGGAGGGGCAGGGAGAGACUGUCAUUGAUAGAGAGUUACUUAGGACACAGUCAGCAGGGCUGGGAUACAGCUACAGUUUUAUAUACAUUCAUGGGUAUAGAAAACAUGGACAUCAAGGCCUUUGUAGGAAAAAGUUUGGUCAUUACUGA